rnacentral:lncRNA from 1 species
CGAAGUCCUGUUCAACACUCAGUUUGAGAAAGCAUCUUCAGCAACUUCCACAACCCCACCUCUUCCUGCGGUGCGACGUGCUCCUCUGCAUGGCCUCCCUCAGCUGCCUGCUGACAGUACCACGUCGACUUCACCUUCUACCUGCCCUGCACUCCCAUGCAGUGCAAGGCGCCCCUCUGGAUGGACUAGCUCUGCACCCGCUGCGUGGAGACACCUUUCUUUGGAGGCAUGGCCCACGUCUGCUAAAGGUUAAUGAUGUUCAAUAAGUAUGUUGCUAAAUGCAGAAAUCUUCUGACUUCUAUUGAUAUGUGCCUUAACUAUGUAGCCC